UUGACUCAAAUUUAUAUGGAGUUGGAACGUUUGCCUACGUUUGCCGCUAAAGGCGCUAUUCCAACUGAAUACAAAAUUAAAUUU
rfam:Bombyx mori DNA, contig: Bm_scaf101_contig36162, strain: p50T/Dazao, build 2, whole genome shotgun sequence.